GGGGAUAUGGCGAAAUUGGUAGACGCUACGGACUUGAAAUCCGUCGACUUUUAAAAUCGUGAGGGUUCAAGUCCCUCUAUCCCCC
rnacentral:tRNA from 4 species